AGCAUUUCAUACAGGUAAAACGUCGUACAGAACGGUGUUUUACGACAGGGUGUUUCCAUGUCAACCGCUUACUUCGUUCAACCCAACUCGCAUGCAUGAAGACGUGGAUUAACGAAGAUGGGGUCUGAUCCUUUUCUUUGGGUCAGACCCUAAGGGUCUGCGGACCCUUCCUGCAUUCGGGCAGUGAAUUACGCCCACCUGGACCUUUUGUUUGGAUUUGAAUGUCUGAGUUCAAGUCCUAGGCUAGCUGGACUCGAUACUAACUCCCAUAGCGGUCGCGCCAUCUUUCUCGCCGGAGAAAGCGAAGCAGGGGAGUGGUUGAGGGUUCCGGCGGGCCCCAGAGGAACACUUUCAUGUCUUUGGUGAUAUUUACACAGGCCAUGAUCGUGGAGUCCCCUGGGGAUAACAUUUCGACGGUGGAUAAAACCAGCAUGGAUAUGGAGGAAUCUGGAAUUUGUAAACUGCACUUCAUUAAUUAAGAUUGACAUAAAGGUAUUUGGAGCGCUUAUCUGGUAAAGGUGGUAGCGGGCGAGGAUGACUGGAUGAUUCAUUCACCUCUUCUUCAUGCGGAGGACCUGGCAGUUACUUGCGGAGAUCUGAUGAGCGUAUAUACAUAUCUGAAAUACUGUUGGUCACUGCUGUAAUAUGGCGCUAAAGUCAAACACAAAACAAAACACCCAGCUACAGAAAACGACAUCAAUCAAACGCGCGCUCCUUUGGCGGAAAAUGUACACAUAUGCGCUUAAAGAACAAAAUUUUGAAAGGAAUAUACUCAAAGGGUCCUUUUUAGCAUGAAGAGUAGCAAUAGUUUACCUUGACGUAGACCCCGCUGAU